CGAUAGGAGCUCGUGGGCCAAACUUGGAUAGCAUGCAAGCCAGCUAACUAGUUAGCCUUCCGUUUAUUCACUAUAAACUUAAGAAAGGCUUUCAAACGGAGUGGGGAGGAAAGACAACGUAUGAAGCCAAGUGGAAUUCUUUUCACUCUAUCACGUCCACGUCGAACAUGCCGUGGCUGACUAAACGCGGGGUGACGGUAAUGUAAUUACACGGUAAUGUAAUGGAACGUCACGUCUCAGCAAUGCUGUUUCAAUACUGACCUCCGGUGGCCAGAAUGCCAUACUACAUAGAACUUGUAUUUGUCAAUAUUGUUUCACUAAUAACGGAACACAGUCAACCACACCACACCAUAAUUUCUUCAUUAAUGUUGGAAGAAUUCGCGAUAGAAUGAGGGAGAAAUAUUCGAAGCGUGACGUAGCGAAGGACGACUGUAACAGAAUAAAAUGGCGGAUUGUGACUAAACAAGGUCACUGAGGACAAGGUGAUGGUCACCAAGUGUGCCAAGUCAGAAGGGUGGAGAGAUCAGCUGCAAUGUAGCCAAGUCGGACCUGAGGUCAUCCUGGCAUUGGGAGUUCACAUCUGUUCAAAUAAAUCCUCCACUGUGCCAUGUUUGGCCCGACAGCAGCAGUGAGCGGGCGCAGAUUACCAGUAGGGAUCUCCAGCGUGGACUGGAAUGCUGACCCUACUAUCCAUCUCCAUCAGAAGAAAUACGUUUGUUUGACUUGAGAUGUGAUUGUGUUUUUUCUUCCCCACACCUGCAGCUUCCUCACCCCCCCCCCCCCCCCCCCCCACACACACACACUGAUCAAUAGCUUUGCUUGGAGUAGCACCAAUGUUGCUGCUACUGCUCAUGUUUUCCAUUCUCCUCCGGUGUAGACCUUUUCUUACCAGCAUUUGAAUCCAGUAAAGUUGUGAAAUGAAACAGACGUGCUUCGUGCACCGACAGCUUUGGACGUUUCUUGCUAUUUGCUGUCACUAGUGCUGUGAUUGACUGUUGGCCUGCGUGGGAGUCGCGUGCUUAUCAGAGGCUACUCUUGGGGAAUUUGCAUCAAAUAAUAAACUGCUUCAAACUUGUGUUAUGAUACUAAUAUCUCCAUCUGGGGCCACCAUGAUGUAUUUGUCGAAUCCUUGUGGUUUUUAAUGCAAAUCCAAAGUCUUGAAAAGACCAUGGAACCUGCUUAAUUCAAGUCGGCUUUUGUCGCCAUUGAUUCCUUAAGUCGACAUCUGCAUGCAUGGUCGACCAUUUUUGUUGACAUACUUUCAGACCCUAAGGGGUCAUUUCUCUGAAAAUUGUUUAGUUUAUGUCAAUAUGUGUUGCUAUGCAGCGUACCAUAACUUCACUACUGUCUAUUUGCACAGCAUUAGAAACCGCACACAGUGACUAAAAGUUGGGAACCUGGAUUCUACACCCUUUUUUUUAAAGGUUGCUAGCAACCGGAAACAAAAAAGUCAAGUCAUACAGUAACAUUGCCACAACAGCUUUUAGAUAAUUAAUAUUGUAUGUGCAGGGGUGUCAGAUGGCAAUGUGGAGAUGUUGCAGGGGGCAUCCCACAUGGCCGAAGGCCCUGGACUGUGUGGUAAUGACAGGUAAUGACUUUUUCAACAGGACAGCUCAUGAUGGCCACCUCACUUUUUUGGACCAUCCUGCGUGUCCGCCUGAUCCGAAUCCCAAGAACAUUUGAGGAUGAAUGGCAAGGGAAGUUCCAGUCAGUGGAUGCCCUGUGUUAAGCCAUCUUCGCCACCUGGAGCAACAUUCCCACGGGCCUCCUGGAAACUCAAGCAGCAUGCCCAAUGGUUUGGGCAUG